rnacentral:rRNA from 1 species
GUGGGGAAUAUUGGACAAUGGGCGAAAGCCUGAUCCAGCCAUGCCGCGUGUGUGAAGAAGGUCUUCGGAUUGUAAAGCACUUUAAGUUGGGAGGAAGGGCAGUAAGUUAAUACCUUGCUGUUUUGACGUUACCGACAGAAUAAGCACCGGCUAACUUCGUGCCAGCAGCCGCGGUAAUACGAAGGGUGCAAGUGUUAAUCGGAAUUACUGGGCGUAAAGCGCGCGUAGGUGGUUUUGUAAGUUGGAGGUGAAAUCCCCGGGCUCAACCUGGGAACUGCCUCCAAAACUGCAUGACUAGAGUACGGUAGAGGGUAGUGGAAUUUCCUGUGUAGCGGUGAAAUGCGUAGAUAUAGGAAGGAACACCAGUGGCUAAGGCGACUACCUGGACUGAUACUGACACUGAGGUGCGAAAGCGUGGGGAGCAAACAGGAUUAGAAACCCCGGUAGUCC